UUCCGUACGUCCAACGCCCAAAGCCCCAAGCCCCUUCCAAUUGUCAGAGCACGAAAACCCUAAUCUGGAAGAUAGACAGAUAGUCGGCUGGUAGACAAUCGAAGGGAAAGGAAAAUGACAGGGAAAUUAUUUGCUCUCCGCCAGGCCUUCAACUUCCGAUCCAUUUCUUCUUCUUUUUCUCUGAAACAAAAAAUCUGUCAAUUUCCAGCACACAAAAAAACCUGAACGCAUUGCCAAUCUUCUCCGAAGUUUCUAGAACCUUCUGCUCCUCAUCCUCAGUACCAUCGAAUACGAGACAACCAACUGUAGCGAGGAUUCCUUUUGUGGAUGCGUUUCUGGCAAGAAUGAAAAAGAACAAACAUCUUUUAGCCAACCAGAAAAUUUGGUCGCGUAGAUCUACUAUUUUGCCUGAAUUCGUAGAUCAAACUGUACGGAUUUACAAUGGGAAAAAUUUUGUUCGCUGCAAGAUUACAGAAGGCAAAGUGGGUCAUAAGUUUGGUGAGUUUGCUUUGACUCGGAAACGGAAGCAUUUGAGAGCCAAAAUCGAACCUGCAAAAAAGAAGGGCAAAAAGUAAACAUUUGCCACCCCAAAAACAACAUCCAUUUCGGAAGAGAAGUGUGAUUCCAGAGAAUGGUAAAUGUAAAUUGAUGCUUGAUUUGAUGGGACCUUUUUCAAGCAAUCAAAGAGGGAAGAGACUGGUUUUAAGGUCUCUUUUGUUAAAUGAUUUUAGGAUUUUGUUUGGUCAGUUGUUGGCCUGCAUUAUUAUUCUGAAAAAGUACAGUUUUUGGUUGGGAUGUUUUUAUGGUCCAUGCAGGUUGAUUUUGCAAUAAAAUUGUCAAAUUGAUAUUCUCAAUUUCUAAUAUGUGGAACGCAUCCUGAGAUGCUGCUGCUACAAAGGAAAGAAAAGGUUUUUGUGAUUGUUAGUGUCAGGACAGUUACUACUUAAAUAUAAUCAUAAAUAUAUAUAUAUAUAUAUGUUUUAUCUUGCUUGGAAUUUGAUCAAUCUUUAUAAGAGAACCUAAAAUGUCAUCCAAGUACAUUGAGAAAUUGGAAGUUAUAGCCUGUUUCUUCAUAGUGGGAGUAUAUUUCCAAGUAAGCAAACAAAUAAGGCAAAUUGUUAUCUUCUUUUUUAUGUAGGUAUGUGUGUGUAUGUGAAAACGUUGUUAUGUCAUUCUCCAGUAGAUCUUGUCUGAUUUUUGAGAUUAUAAUCAUCUAAACUCUUAAAGAAUUAUAGGACCCUAAAUCACAACUCUUAUUUUUAUCAAUCUCGCUUGUAUCUGUUCUUUGAUGUAAGGAAGCAGUAUCGGUCUCAGGCCCUACACCCUAGUCUUAAUGUUUGCUCACAGUCCAUUUGGGCUUUGAUCCAACACAAUGGCGGAUGGAUAAAUGUCUACUCUCUGCUAGCUUAGAAAAUGAGAGGAAGGAGUAUUGGUGGGUUGACAAUAUUGCCACCCCAAGAAAUUUUUUUUUUUUUUGUUGAGUAUGAUACAAUACAUAGUGUCAUAGUGAUAAUUUUGAAUUGAUGAACUUACAAAUUUUUCUGAUGUUUUAUUUAGAUUUAGGCAAGAUGAUUUAUUAUAUAUUACAAGAUCUAAAUACUGUAACUGUUUUACAUGAAUAAAGACCAUGGUCUUGUAGAAAUCGAUAAAAGCAUCAAUCAAAAGAGAGACGGUGGUGAAGGGUGAGACUGAGACAGAAGGCAGCCAUAGCCAAAACCAUCUCCCCAGUCUGUCUCACUCUCACCAACCUCCUUUUCUUUCCUUAACAAGUCGGUUUGUUGGCACAUUGACCCACUACCAUCUAUGAGACUGUAUGCUACCCUUUCUUUGUUUCCAAUUUUCCUCAACUGUUCCAUAUUUAUUGGCUAAUUUUCAUUUCUCAAAUAAAUACUAGUAGAAAAGUCACAAUAAUCAAGCCCUUACCAACAGGAAAAAAUAAUAAAAAAAUAAAAAAAGGGAAAAGUCCACCACCAACCGCACCAAAAAUAUAAAA